rnacentral:rRNA from 1 species
UACCAGCACCCCGAGUGGUCGGGACGAUUAUUGGGCCUAAAGCAUCCGUAGCCGGUUUUACAAGUCCUCCGUUAAAUCCAGCUGCUUAACAGAUGGGCUGCAGAGGAUACUAUAAGACUAGGAGGCAGGAGAGGCAAGCGGUACUCAGUGGGUAGGGGUAAAAUCCGUUGAUCCAUUGAAGACCACCAGUGGCGAAGGCGGCUUGCCAGAAUGCGCUCGACGGUGAGGGAUGAAAGCUGGGGGAGCAAACCGG